GGUCCCGAGGUCGCCACGUGUACCUGGCGCGUGGGGCCACGCGGGUGUCAAAAAAGCAAAGGAAGGAAGUGCGAUUUUGUUUCACAACAUUAAAUCAAACAGCGACUCCCUUUGCUUCUCUGUCGCUUUCGCCGCAAUCGGCGUCUCCUCCUCCACGCGCCACCGAGAUCAGGCCAUCGAAAUCGUAGCAGCUGAUUCAAGGCACAAAUGCGGUGGAAGGAAACCCUAACAUUGCCAGAAGCCUUGUGGUGAAAAUGCUACUUUUGGUGCAGAGUAGGAAGUAUGCCUCUCUGCAUUGAAACACUGCAUAAAUCUUUUCUUCAAAAUGCAAGGCUGCUUCAAUAAAUGAUUAUCGCUUGGUGAAAGGAAUUGGAAGAGAAUGCAGACACCCAGGAUAAAAAAAAGUUACCAUAAAUGCCAGUGUUGCUUCAGUAUCAUGAGUGAAUAUACUCCUGUUUCUGUUACCAGCAUCAACAAACCGUAUGUUUGGAAUUUCCAUUCCAAUGGCAUGAUAAACGAAGAGAACCAAGCAAGAAGAACAAAGCAAGACGAAACUCUGAAUUCUGGGUUCUCUUUUGUGUUCAUAGCGUAAGUGUUUGUGUGCAUAACACGAGUAUUCAUAGAGAUUCUUCAAUCUCUAUCAUCCUAAUGCAAAGUCUUUAUCUCCUCAAGUUUGCUUACCAGUGAAGCAGCAAAUUGAUCCCACCAAUCUUGGGCCUCUCUGUACGAUAAUUUUAAUGGCCAAUGUUGGAAGCUGUACAUGAGAUUACCAUUUACAUUCACCGAUUUCACAACCUUGACUUGUUUCAGCAAGGAUGGUAUCAAAUCAAGGUCACAAUGAGAUGUGAGGAUGAAGAUUAUGGUUAUGUGGUAACUCCAGCAAGACUUAUUCAAUAUGAAGUUUCAGGUGUUAAUAGUUGGAGAUGCUAAACUAGUGCUCAGACCAAAUGCGAGCAAAGUUCACGGAGCAUUGAGUGUUCAUACGCUGCGACAUCAACUUCGACCUUUCAGCGCAAGGGAAUAGCACCGACACAAUAAUAGGUUGUGCUGCUCAUUUCGAGUUCCUGGAUUCCGACAUCUUUGCUAAGUUUAUAACGUGGUCCUUCCCAGAAUUUUUUGUUGUUGUUGUUGAUCUUUAUCCUUACAUGUCUACUUUUCCAUCCAAUUUUUGAAUGGAAGUAGUUAAAUACCAAAAUUUUGUACUUGGUUGUAAUA